rnacentral:lncRNA from 1 species
UGGUAUGAUACUAAACCCCUAACGGGAAGGAUUGUGCCUGAUGUUCAUAUGAUGAAAUCAUAAUCUUUCAGUCAGUUUAAUUGAAGUCUGGAGCUGGCAUGUCAGUUAACUGCUAGAAGUCUGUUGUUAUUUAUGUAUUAUUGUCAUUUUGUUUAUUUUCUUUGGUUACAUCUUCUGACAUCAGACUCGGACUUCUCUUGAACUGAAUUUUAAUGUGCGUAUUGU